rfam:Freshwater sediment metagenome lwMethane_BCGO22067_x1, whole genome shotgun sequence.
CCUAUCGUUCCUCCGAUAGUAGCCUAAAGGCACGGGCAUCAACAGCAAUGUAAUGUCCGAAGCUGUCUUGACGAUGUAACCCAAUCGAAAGAUGAAGCCAAACCCGCGAGGGCAAAGCGGAACUGCGAGUAUCACGCGGUAGGGUGC